GCCUCGGUAGCCUAGCCUGGUGGGGCAUCGCCUUGGUAAGGCGGUGGUCGCGGGUUCAAAUCCCGCCCGAGGCUCCA
rnacentral:tRNA from 1 species